UUUUUCCCUGCAAAGUCUAUCAAUAAGUUCUAAGUCCUUUCCUUCCUUAUAUAGUGUGAGUGUGUGUAUUAAUAAGUAUACUAAAUCUCUAUGUAAGUCUGAAUGAGUGUUUUCUACCAGUCUGUCAAUAAGUUCUUUGCUUGUGUCGUAAGUAAUAAUUCUAACGUGUGUAAUUCUUGCAGGUCACGCUUGCCAAGAUGCUCUGCGAUAACUGUGAUAAUGUGGAGAGUGAGCAGCGGUCCGUCUUUGACCUUCCUGACCCCUUCCUGAACCCUCGUGUGUCCCACCGUGACCUGCCGGGGAUCAACCCGGAGCUGUGGAAGGAGCGCGUGUCAUGUGGGGUUGGCAAGACUGAUAUUGACAUCGGGGCAGCCGAGCGCAUAUCACCCUGUGUCAUGUGCACCUGUACCAAGGAAGGGAAUUGAAUGGCUGAACGGACAUCUCUGGCGUCUUGGUCUGCCUGCUGCACACUGCACACUCUGGAAGAAAGAACACCAAGAUGUCAAGUUCCUGCAGAAUCAGCCUCUUAGUGAAGAAAAUGUGCCUUAUUUAUUUAAUAAAUAAUUGACAAAAAAAAUAAUUUUGUAUUUAUUUUAGAAAAACUAUAUGGCUCA